rnacentral:rRNA from 1 species
CGGCGGCGGCGGGGGUCGGGAGGCGCUCGGCGGCGGGCGCUGCGCGGACCGGCGUCGCGCGAACGAGAGGUCGCCUCGGCUCGCCGAAGGACGCGCCGGGGGCCGCCGGAGGCGCGGCGUCGGCCCGAGGGAGAAGGAGAUCGCAUCGCGGGGCAACGGGUCGAACCCGAGGGGCCCGUCGCCGUUCCCGAGCCGCGAGGCUCGGGGCGGAGGCGGGCUCCCCGGCGAGGCUCGACCCCAGGUUUUCGAAUGGCGUAGGCGAGACGGUCCCGUCCGACCCGUCUCGAAAACACGGACCAAGGAGUCUAACGCGCGCGCGAGCGAGAGGGCGAGAGGCCCAUCCGCGCAACGAAAGCGAAUGGCGGGACGCUCUCCCGCAGGGGGGCGGCGCCGCCGGCCGGACGUCCUCGAGGCGGACCGAGCCGGAGCGCUCGCGUCGGGACCCGAAAAGGUGGUGAUCUAUCCGUGCGCGCGGCGAAGCCGGGGGAAACCCCGGUGGAGGCCCGUCGACGGUACUGACGUGCAAAUCGUUCGUCCGACGUGCGAAUAGGGGCG